UGCAAGUCGAACGAGUUCUGAUUAUUGAAAGGUGCUUGCAUCUUGAUUUAAUUUUGAACGAGUGGCGGACGGGUGAGUAACACGUGGGUAACCUGCCCUUAAGUGGGGGAUAACAUUUGGAAACAGAUGCUAAUACCGCAUAAAUCCAAGAACCGCAUGGUUCUUGGCUGAAAGAUGGCGUAAGCUAUCGCUUUUGGAUGGACCCGCGGCGUAUUAGCUAGUUGGUGAGGUAACGGCUCACCAAGGCAAUGAUACGUAGCCGAACUGAGAGGUUGAUCGGCCACAUUGGGACUGAGACACGGCCCAAACUCCUACGGGAGGCAGCAGUAGGGAAUCUUCCACAAUGGACGCAAGUCUGAUGGAGCAACGCCGCGUGAGUGAAGAAGGCUUUCGGGUCGUAAAACUCUGUUGUUGGAGAAGAAUGGUCGGCAGAGUAACUGUUGUCGGCGUGACGGUAUCCAACCAGAAAGCCACGGCUAACUACGUGCCAGCAGCCGCGGUAAUACGUAGGUGGCAAGCGUUAUCCGGAUUUAUUGGGCGUAAAGCGAGCGCAGGCGGUUUUUUAAGUCUGAUGUGAAAGCCCUCGGCUUAACCGAGGAAGUGCAUCGGAAACUGGGAAACUUGAGUGCAGAAGAGGACAGUGGAACUCCAUGUGUAGCGGUGAAAUGCGUAGAUAUAUGGAAGAACACCAGUGGCGAAGGCGGCUGUCUGGUCUGUAACUGACGCUGAGGCUCGAAAGCAUGGGUAGCGAACAGGAUUAGAUACCCUGGUAGUCCAUGCCGUAAACGAUGAAUGCUAGGUGUUGGAGGGUUUCCGCCCUUCAGUGCCGCAGCUAACGCAUUAAGCAUUCCGCCUGGGGAGUACGACCGCAAGGUUGAAACUCAAAGGAAUUGACGGGGGCCCGCACAAGCGGUGGAGCAUGUGGUUUAAUUCGAAGCAACGCGAAGAACCUUACCAGGUCUUGACAUCUUUUGAUCACCUGAGAGAUCAGGUUUCCCCUUCGGGGGCAAAAUGACAGGUGGUGCAUGGUUGUCGUCAGCUCGUGUCGUGAGAUGUUGGGUUAAGUCCCGCAACGAGCGCAACCCUUAUGACUAGUUGCCAGCAUUUAGUUGGGCACUCUAGUAAGACUGCCGGUGACAAACCGGAGGAAGGUGGGGAUGACGUCAAAUCAUCAUGCCCCUUAUGACCUGGGCUACACACGUGCUACAAUGGAUGGUACAACGAGUUGCGAGACCGCGAGGUCAAGCUAAUCUCUUAAAGCCAUUCUCAGUUCGGACUGUAGGCUGCAACUCGCCUACACGAAGUCGGAAUCGCUAGUAAUCGCGGAUCAGCACGCCGCGGUGAAUACGUUCCCGGGCCUUGUACACACCGCCCGUCACACCAUGAGAGUUUGUAACACCCGAAGCCGGUGGCGUA
rnacentral:rRNA from 1 species